GGAUUAGAUACCCUGGUAGUCCACACCGUAAACGCUGUCUACUAGCUGUUUGUGUGAUUUAUCACGUGAGUAGCGAAGCUAACGCGCUAAGUAGACCGCCUGGGGAGUACGGCCGCAAGGUUAAAACUCAAAUGAAUUGACGGGGGCCCGCACAAGCGGUGGAGCAUGUGGUUUAAUUCGAUGCAACGCGAAGAACCUUACCAGGACUUGACAUCCAGAGAAGCCAGUAGAGAUACAGGUGUGCCUUCGGGAACUUUGAGACAGGUGCUGCAUGGCUGUCGUCAGCUCGUGCCG
rnacentral:rRNA from 1 species